AUGUCCCGCGUCUGCCUCCGCCGCCGCCUCUCCUCCUCCUCCUUCUCCAACUGCACCUCGCCGCCCUCCCCAACCUGGUCUCCCCACGCCGCCUUUGCCGCGGCCACAGAGCGCGUGCGAGCCGGUACGCUCAGCCCGCAAGACGCACACCACCUGUUCGACGUAUUGUUUCAGCAGGCCAUUCGGGUCCCCGAGCGCUCCCUUGAUGGAUUCCUUGCCGCCCUCAGCCAUGCUACGUCCUCUGAAGCCUGCAGAGACGGCCCCGCCCUCGCCCUCACCCUCUUCAACCGUGUCUGCCGAGAAGAAGCCGGCAUGCGGGUGGCGCCGCACACCAUCUUCACCUACGGCAUCCUCAUGAACUGCUGCUGCCGCGUACGUCGUCCGGACCUAGGGCUUGCCUUCUUUGGGCGCAUCCUCAGGGCGGGCCUGAAGACAAACCAGAUCGCCGCCAACACCGUCAUCAAGUGCCUCUGCUGCGCAAAACAUACUGACGAGGCUGUCAAUAUGCUGCUUCAUAGGAUGUCCGACCUCGGCUGUGUGCCUGAUGCCUUCUCAUACAACACCGUUCUGAAGAGCUUGUGUGAAGACGGCAGGAGCUUGCAGGCGCUCGACCUACUGCUCCAGAUGGUUGCUCCCCCGACGUGGUGGCUUAUAACACGGUCAUCUAUGGCUUCUUUAAGGAAGAUGGUUGAUAACGGUGUUCGGCCGGAUGAGGUGACAUAUACUAGCAUGAUCCAUGGAUAUUCCACUUUGGGCCGGCUGAAAGAGGUGCGUAAAAUGUUCAGAGAAAUGACAAGCUGUGGUCUUAUACCAGAUGUUGUCACUUGGAACUCGUUCAUGGACUCCCUUUGCAAGCAUGGAAGAACCAAAGAAGCUGCAAAGGUUUUCUUUUCCAUGGCUGCAAAGGGCAACAAGCCUAAUAUUGUCUCCUACACUAUUCUUCUUCAUGGGUAUGCCAAUGAAGGAAGCUUUGCUGAUAUGAUGAGUCUCUUCAAUUCAAUGAAAGGCGGCGGCAUUGUAGCCAACUGCAAAGUUUUCAACAUAUUAAUUGGUGCAUAUGCUAAACGAGGGCUGAUAGAUGAAGCUAUGCUCAUACUUACUGAAAUGCGGGGACAAGGACUGAGUCCGGAUGUAGUCACCUAUUCAACUCUAAUAUCUGCACAUUGGAGAAUGGGUAAGCUGACUGAUGCAAUGGAUAAGUUCAGUCAGAUGGUUGUUGGUAUGGGAGUACAGCCGGACACAGUUUUUUAUCACUCCCUAGUUCAGUUCUUAUGUACACAUGGUGAUUUGGUGAAAGCGAAGGAGUUGAUUUCUGAAAUGAUGAAUAAAGGUAUUGCUCGUCCAAACACUGCACUCUUCAGUUCAAUAAUGGACAGUCUAUGCAAUGAAGGAAGGGUUAUAGAUGCACACCAUAUCUUUGACUUGGUUAUAGACAUAGGUGAGAAACCUGAUAUCAGUAUGUUUAGUACGCUGAUUGACGGAUAUUGCUUAGUCGGCGAGAUGGACAAAGCAUGUGGAGUACUUGAUGCCAUGGUAUCAGCUGGCAUUGAGCCUAAUGUCAUUACGUAUAGCACACUUGUCAGUAGAUAUUGUAAACGUGGAAGGAUCGAUGAUGGGUUAAUUCUGUUCAGACAAAUGUUGCAUAAGAAAGUUAAACCUACAACUGUUACAUAUGAAACCAUACUGAAUGGAUUAUUUCGUGCUGGGAGAACUGCUGAUGCAAAGAAAAUGUUCCAUGAGAUGAUCGAAAGUGGAAUAAUGGUUGAAAGAAGAGAAGAAGCUAAUGAUUUGUUUGCUGCAUUACCAGCCAGUGGGUUGGUGCCUAAUGCUUCCACUUACGGAGUAAUGGUACAAAAUCUUCUAAAAGAAGGAGCAGUGGAGGAAGCUGACAGGAUGUAUCUCACCACAAUCUUUCAGGGACGAAACCUUUAA
rnacentral:rRNA from 1 species